rnacentral:lncRNA from 1 species
CCAUGCUACACUGAGCAUGCCAUUACAUUACACAUUCAGUGUCCUGUCCUAAGAAUUUCACUUCUAGACAUUGCACAUGAAUUGUGUCCUGGUGUAUGUUAUCAUGCCUGUGUAUUGCCUUUGUCAAUUUUAGAAAGAAGUAAUGAAUCAUGUCUCCUUUGACUUCAGAGACGCUUGAAUUCCUUAAAACUGUGCCUCUUGUGAAUGGAUUUGGACCACACCAGGAUCCCUGAUGUGGAAGCCAGUGGGAUCAUCCUGGAAAGGGAUCUGCCCCUAUUUUGGAUAAUUCUCUCCAAACAUAUCUUCUUUUGAUUUCCUGCACUGGAUUCCCAAGUUCCUGUAGAUUUGGACCCAAUCACCAGAGACUGUCCAUUGACUCUGGGCUUCUGACUGGUGAGAGUCCUCCACAUCUUGGCCAAGGUAUAUUGUUCUCAACAUCUUCAUUCUAUUCUAGUUCUUCACUGUCCUUUUCACCUCUGGUUUCAGUAAUCAAAUCAACAUUACUAUUCCUGUA